GUCUGGAUAGCUCAUUGGGUAGAGCAGUCGACAGUUAACCGACCUGUAGCGGGUUCGAAUCCCGCUCCAAAUG
rnacentral:tRNA from 1 species